GGAUGUUGUGGAUGUUGUGGAUGUUGUGUGUGUUGUGGAUGUUGUGGAUGUUGUGUGUGUUGUGGGGGCGGCACACUUAAAGCUGCAAAGGUUAGGAAGUAGAGAGAUUAGUUUGCUCUUAUUUCUUUUUUUGCAGCGAUUGAGUUAUGUGUGCAUGUCACGACAGAUUGAGCCCUUCAGAAGGAUAGUAGCAGAAGCAGUUAUGUUAACGUCAUGGAGAGCUGAGUACUUGUUACACACCAUUUAGGAGUGUUUUUGCCGGAUUAUUGCCUGACUAAUUGUUGCCUGAGUGCCAGUCAGAAAUAUCGGAUGUUUGAGAUUUCUUUUUCCCAACGAUGGCUGUGUGGUUACCCUCACUGUAUGGAUGGCGGUGGUGAGGUGGCUGGGAUCGUGUGGUGUUGGUCACUUUAUUUGUAUUUUGCCUUUAGGGAUGCAGUGUGAUUGCUGUGGUGAGAGCACUUUUCAGGACUAGUGCCUUCACGAUAUAGCCUUCAAGAAAGAAGACAGCGGCUUUGACGAGGUAAGCCAAAAUACAACCAUUUGACUUUCAUAACCCUUGGGAGUGUUGGAAGACAAUGAGUGUCGUGAGAUGUUAUAUGACGUGUUUGGUGUAGUUGCUUAAUGGAUUUCACUGCGCUUUGACUGUCGUUGGAGUAGUGCAUGCUGGGAUGUGCUGUUUGGAUGUUGCUAUUUGAGGCGAUGGUGUCGGUCUCUGGGGUUGAAGUGUCAGUUGUGAUCAUUUGAGAGAUGCUUCAUUGUUCUCCGUUUCUUCAUUGCGCCGAGGCACCGACCCGUCCCUACAUUAUUCCAUUGGCUUUGGAAACGGGCCCUCGAGUGAUAUUGAACAGGAACAUGCAAUAUUAUUUAAAUACUAAUACAUUUGAGGCCCCUUUCCACUGUUACAGCCAAGAUUGUGUUUAUUGGUGAUUUUUCUAGAAACAUGAUUUCCAGAGUAUUAUUUUAUAGACUGAUUAUGUAGGUUUUCUAUAUUCUGAAAAGACGAAUUUUAGAACCAAAUUUCUCAAAAUGAUAACCAUUUUUGUAUUCAGGCAGUCAUCAAAAGCUUUGUUUUAGUGCUACAUGUCCCAUUGCAAUACAUAAGUUGUUUGUUGAUUAUUUUCAUGUUCAAGUUAAUUUGCAAUCUGCAUUUCUGUGGCUCUGUUGCACUAGCAACGCCAAGCUCACUGGUUUGAUUCCUAGGAAAUGCAUGAACUGAUAAAAUGCAAACCUUGGAUGCUAUGUAAGACGCUUUGGAUAAACUGUAUAAAUGUAAUUUGACACAAGAAGCAGAAAUAUUAAAUAUUAUAAAUGUG